GGACUGUAGGCUGCAACUCGCCUACACGAAGUUGGAAUUGCUAGUAAUCGUGGAUCAGCAUGCCACGGUGAAUACGUUCCCGGGUCUUGUACACACCGCCCGUCACACCAUGGGAGCUGGUAACACCCGAAGUCAGUAGUCUAACCGCAAGGAGGACGCUGCCGAAGGUGGGAUUAGCGACUGGGGUGAAGUCGUAACAAGGUAAC
rnacentral:rRNA from 1 species